AGAACGAACGCUGGCGGCAUGCCUAAUACAUGCAAGUCGAACGAACACUUCGGUGUUAGUGGCGCACGGGUGCGUAACGCGUGGGAAUCUGCCCUUGGGUUCGGAAUAACAGUUGGAAACGACUGCUAAUACCGGAUGAUAUCGAAAGAUCAAAGAUUUAUCGCCCAGGGAUGAGCCCGCGUAGGAUUAGCUAGUUGGUGAGGUAAAGGCUCACCAAGGCGACGAUCCUUAGCUGGUCUGAGAGGAUGAUCAGCCACACUGGGACUGAGACACGGCCCAGACUCCGUACGGGAGGCAGCAGGUAGGGAAUAGUUGGACAAGU
rnacentral:rRNA from 1 species